UUUUAAUUCAUUUUAAAUAGUUUUUGGUAUCCAAAAAAUACAAAACUAUUUUUCCAACCUCUUUGAAUGAUGAUAGAUCUAUGAAAAAUAUUCUCAUCAAUUUAUUAAUUGAUUUAAGAUUUAUUUGAGAUUUUGAUUCAAUUAGGUUAUUUUUAUGCAUUUUUAAUUGAUUAAAAAUAGUUUCUGACUUAUAAAAAUGCUGAAAUUUUU
rnacentral:lncRNA from 1 species